CACAACCAUGAUCAGAUGUAAGCAAACAUUCAACACAAGGGGAAAAUGCAUAAUCUACCAAGGCUAUGUUUGUACGACACACGUAACAUAUGGAGCACUCACUGAUGCCUUGCUGGUUUGGUUGGCUAGCAUGAGUCCGCUGACCCUAUGAGCUGACUGGAUGUGGGGAGGCUUGCGGGAGAGGGCAACCUGUGCAUGCAUGGAGACACACAGAGGAGUGAAUGACAGGCAUUGUUGUCAUGCUGUCCAUAGCAGGAGUGGAUAACGAUUCAUAGUCAUCCUGGUAUACAUGCAGCAACCUCUUAAUUCAGCACCACGCAAAAACAAAUCUAGGAUUAUAACUAGAGCACUAAAGUGCAAACCCUCGGCUGGUGACAUAAUUACAGAAGAGUGAUAUUAUAAUACAGUGCAUGUAGUGAUGUUAUCAUGUAUGACUUAACUGUCGUAGCACAGAAAUUGAGGAACAAUAAAACUAAACCAGACUGGAGGCAUGCUGAAACAUUAGAGGAACAGAGUUUUAGUGGCACAUAGAUAUCUAUGCACUGAAACUGUGGAAUUCUGGAGUCUCAGAGAAGUAUGGCUCCUGCAUGGAUCCCAGAUCACAGUCAGCUAACCAGGGCCAGUCACAAUUCUAGCUUUCUAUUGUAGUGACCCUUUUCCAUUGUUCUUGGUACGGGAUCAACUCAGUUGUAAAUACGUAAGGUACCUCGAAUAAAGGCCGCGUGUAGUUUGCUAGCUGCCACGUGCAAGUUCAAGCUUUUCUUAGCUUUUGCAGAGCUUUUGCUAGCCUCUCGAUCCCAGGCCGAGUUUUCGCUUUUAUAACGGUUAGGCGAACAAAAAAGGGAAAACUCGGCCUGGGAUUGAGGCUAAGCUUUUGCUAGCUUUUAUAGACAAUGAAACUUUUACAUCGAAAUCUACCACUAUUUAAAGCAAGAUAUUGUUGGCUAUCUAUGCUGCAAAGGCAGCGCUAUGGCAUCCAGGACUCUGGUUGUUAGCUAUGGCCACCAAAUUCACCCGGACAAGAGGGUAUAGCUUCCUAUCAAUAGCACCAUCCCUAUCAGAUACAAUGGUAUAGCAGUAGUGUCCGUUGCUUUCCUCUGCAGAUAGGAGGACAAUCCACACAUUCCUCACCACUUGACAACGGUAUCCAAUGACACUCUCCACUAAUUGAUACAUUGGCAUUUAUACAGGCAUUGCUUGCAGUGGAGUACACAUCUUGAGGGAGUACCAAUAAGCUUUGAAUGCCUGCUAUACAAAAUGAUUUCCGUUUAAAUUUUCAACUUCCUCAGAAUCAGUUGAUUGAUGAUGAGAAAUACUGAGGCAAAUAUUUUGUAAAGGAGGAGCUAAAGAACAGGAAAACACAUCGAGCACCUGUUCUGAGGAUUCGUUUUCACCUUCAAUUACAAACGACAAACACCGGUGCUUGCUAGUAGAUUUCUCGGUGCAAAAUGGGCAAAAUUCAUCAACGUAGCAGCUGAAUUUAAAGUGACUUGAGUGGUUGUUUUGAAAGCGAUCCGGAUGGUGGAUGGACUGUACUCAGUGCAUGGAUCAUAAGG